rnacentral:lncRNA from 1 species
UUUUUUUUUUUUUUUUUUUUUUGGUUUUUCCCCCUUUCUUUUGCAUUAGAUUACUUGUGUGUUACAGUUUAGAUUUAGAUUUAAAAUGUAUGGGGAGAGAGGACCUGGUGAAGAGGUUUUUGCUCCCACAGUAACUCUCCUAUCAGUGACUGCAGAAGUGAGAUGAACAGGAAUUUCCGUGGUGGCCAUGGCUAAAGCCCCUCGGGGCAUUUACAGUGGGGACCACCAAUUCUGAAUGCUUGAUCCUGCACCUGGGCAGCUAUCUAGCUCGAACCUCUCCAGUGACAUUGGGCUCUUCUGUGUCAGAGGCAGGCUGGCCCCUUCGGAGCAAUGAAAGCCUAAUAGUUCUUCUGCCAAGGACAACAAGAGGAUGCUUUCAAGGGGUUUGGGGACCUUGUCCCACCAGUAAAUGCUGGAAUUUAGGAACAAACCUUCCUUAUCUUUUGGGCUGCCUAAAAUUUUACUACAUAAACCUGUCCCAUACAGGUUUAGGGAUCUGUAAUGUAUAAUAAAGAAACAAGGAAAUUCAAAAUUUUCAUUUUCAUUGAAUUCCGAAUCGGUGAACUAUAAACUCUCCAAGGUAAAUGUAUUCUCACAUUGGUAAUUAAUGUUUCCUUACAACAUUUAUUUAUUUAUUUUACAUAUAUUUCUUGGCUUUGUUUUGCUUUGUUUUGUUUGUUUAAGACAGGAUCUUACUCUGUAGCUCUGGCUGUCCUAUAUAGACCAGAGUGCCCUCAAACUCACAGUGAUCCACCUGCCUCUGCCUCCUGAGUGCUGGGAUUAAAAGUGUGCACCACAAUACCUGGCUUCUUUUAUUUUUUUUAAAUAUAUUUUUAUGGGUAUGAAUGUGUGCCUAUCUGAUUCUAUGUGCCCCUCAUGCCUGCAGUGCCCUCAGGGACCAGAAGAAGUCAUUAGAUCCCUUAGAACUGGAGUUAUAAUGAGCUGUCUCAUACGUGCUGUGAAUCUAGCCUGUGUCUUCCACUGGAGCAGUAAGCACUCUUGGUCACUGAGCCAUCGCUCCGGCCCUGAUGUUAUCCUUUUACAUUAAAUACAUUUAUGGAAUCUGGGGUAGAUUUCCCAAUGAAACAGCUGCCUAUUCUCCCACAGGCUGAUGAAGCUGCACCUGUGGGGAACUAUGAGCAGAGGAAGGAGGAGGAACACAGCCUUCUGGAGAAGCUAGCCUGCCAGCUGCAGGAGCUUGCCGUGAGCAUCAGCAGGAAAGACGCUCUCAAGUAAGCUCCCUUCUUCUCUCAGGCCUGUGGCAGCACCUUUGAAACUUGGUUCAGAAUAGAGACAUACCAAAGUGUAGUCUCUGCUCUCAGACCAUACUCUAGCGGGGGCAAUAGACUAGAGAUCUGAAGAGCUAAUAAACCAGAGAUAGAAAAUACACAUGCUGCCUUGGAAGCGAAUCACAAAAGAAGUGAUUUGGGCUGUCCACGUACAUCAUUUCCUCUUUCAGAGAACAUAAAUGUGGGAACAUUGAAAGCAGAGACAUGCACUUUGUUUUGUUGUUGCUAGAAAGAACAUUAAUAAUGUUUUUUCAAAUUAUAGAGCAGACCCCCUGUAGUUAUGAAUAAAUUCAGUUUGUGGAGAGAGAAAGAUCAAUUAUUGAGACUCUUCAAAUGGUAUUCUGCUUGUUUAGACAGGGUCUUGCUGUGUAGCUCAGGCUGGGCUUGGAUGUGUAGUCCUCCCCCUCAGCAGCCUCAGGGCAGGAAUUGUGGGUGUGUGCCACCAUGCCCAGCUUGGUCUUCAGCCUUUUACUCUGAACUCUGGGUAGGAUGCUAAUGGGUAUACAUACAAACACUCUGGGAUUUUUCUGAUGUUUAGUAUUAAGAAUGACAGAGUAGCCAGUGUUGUAUUUCUGCUCCCAUUAGAAACAACUGUAAGAUGAGGGGAUAAGGGGGUGCGGCUCUUAGAAGACAUUGCACAACGCUGGACUGACAUCCUUCAUACACUGGAGAUAUUCAAAGUGAGCCCUGGCUUUCACCUGUUCCCUAGGGAUGAAAUGGGCACUAACCAGCCUUACUGGGCUGAGGUGCCAGAGAUCAAAUUUUAGAGUUGUUAAGUCCACUGGGACUGAGUCCUGGUACCUCAGAGUGAAAGGACUGAAGAAAGACAAGUACAGAAGUCUGGUGUGUGCUUGGGCUGCCUAGGACAUGAUCCCGAAGACGAGUAGCAGGCCUUUACUAAGAACUGAGAACACUAGGUUUGGUAGUGCGUGCCUUUAAUCUCAACACUUAGAAGGCAGAGACAGCUCUGUGAGUUUGAGGCUGACGUGGUUUACAUGUUCCACUAUGUAAGUAUUCCAGCCCAGUAUUCAGGGUUAGGUAGAGAAACCCUGACU